GGUGAACGCUAGCUACAGGCUUAACACAUGCAAGUCGAGGGGAAACGACAUCGAAAGCUUGCUUUUGAUGGGCGUCGACCGGCGCACGGGUGAGUAACGCGUAUCCAACCUGCCCAUCACUUGGGAAUAACCUUGCGAAAGUAAGACUAAUACCCAAUGACAUCCCACGAAGACAUCUGAAUGGGAUUAAAGAUUUAUCGGUGAUGGAUGGGGAUGCGUCUGAUUAGCUUGUUGGCGGGGUAACGGCCCACCAAGGCAACGAUCAGUAGGGGUUCUGAGAGGAAGGUCCCCCACAUUGGAACUGAGACACGGUCCAAACUCCUACGGGAGGCAGCAGUGAGGAAUAUUGGUCAAUGGGCGAGAGCCUGAACCAGCCAAGUAGCGUGCAGGAUGACGGCCCUAUGGGUUGUAAACUGCUUUUAUAAGGGAAUAAAGUGGGUCUCGUGAGACUUUUUGCAUGUACCUUAUGAAUAAGGACCGGCUAAUUCCGUG
rnacentral:rRNA from 1 species